rnacentral:misc_RNA from 1 species
AGAUGGUGCUUUUAGUCAGUUAAAGGUGAGGCAACACCUGUAAUAGCUGGCAAAAUUCAGUUUUUAUAUCAUUUGACAGUUGGUAGCAGAUGGUACGUCUAUUUACAUUGUAUUUUGUUUAUGAUAACUAAAUCAGUUAAAAAUAUUAAUGGAAUAUUAUUUUUUAUGUAAAGCUUAAAUGUCAAUACACUUGCAAAGAUUUGGUGUUCUGGCCGACGACCAGUACAAUGAAAAUACUCACGUGUUCACCUUCGUUUUUGAAAAUCCCUAUAAACUGGUUUCAGGCGAAGUAAAAAGUAUCGAGAGUUCAGAAUGUAGUUACUGUGGACAAAAAUGGUCUAUAGUUGUAAUGAAAAAAGAAGAAUACAUGGGUGUUUAUCUAAAAUGGAAAUAUUCAGAUGCCCCAUCAUUACCAUACGUUAGCGUCAAAUUAAAGUACAUCUUAGGUCUUGUCAAUAGAUCGGACUAUGGUUUAAAUAAGCAUUUUAGUACAACUCAAAAGUUUCGAAUAGGUCAGACAGUCCUAGGAAGAUCGAAAUUUAUAACGUUUAGAGAUCUAUUAGAUAUUGGCAAAGGUUUUCUAGACCAUACAGGAAAACGAUUGGUUAUGGAAUUAACGUUAUCAAAUUGUAGUCUAACGUUUACAAAGAGUAUAGAUAUUAGUAGUUCAGCAAGAACAAAGAAAAAUACAAACGGAUAUUAUUUUGAUACGCCAACAUUUGUUGCAUACGCAAAUAGAUGGUAUCUUAGAAUUUAUCCUACAAAAUUAAACUCUAAUGGUUUACCAGCAUCCUAUCUAUAUCUUGCAACUAAAUCUAAAGGUCUCGUGCUUGAAACAAAAUUUAGACUAUACCUAGAAAGUGAAUCUAGUGAGAUAUUAUUCUAUAGCUACGGUCACGGAGCUAGAUUUGAUGGUUUUGGCAGAACUUUAAAUAAUAUUCUACCAGUUAAUCAAAAAGUGGAAACGAUAUCUGUUGGUAUCGAAAUAUUACAAUUGAAUAUUACCAAAGAUUUACAAUUACCUAUUACAUCUCUAUCUAAACACCAAGAUCCUUCAGUAUCAGCUGAUCCAUUUCAAGACAAUGACGGAAAUUUAUGGAAACUGUUCAUUGAUAAUAAUUAUAAAUACCUUACUUGUCAAUUGGAUAAAGGCGUUCACCACUAUCAACAAAAUAAAACUAAAUUGCUUUGUUGGAAAGCAACGUUACGAUCACAAAUUCAGCAAAAGUUUAAAGACGUUGAAAUGUUAGGCGAUUGUAUUACUGGAUACUUUUCAAAUUUUUUAGACGAUUGCGGUCUUUUAGCUUCUUUUCCAAUAGAAAUUUCAGAAUUAAAAGAUCAAUCAACAGCAUUUACCGAUAAUGGUAACGUUAUUAUUCGUGUUAAUAUGAUUUCGAUUCAAACUUUGCCAGUUGCUAUGAAAUCUUACCCUAAAUUUGAUUAUCAAAGCAAACAAUUAAUUAGAGCAAGGCAAAGUGUAAUGGAGAAAAAUAGACGACUGGAAGAUAUGAAAGAAUUAUCGGCUUCUCAAGUCUCUUUAGGAGAUUUAAAUUCUACAUGCAGCAAAGACGGCUCUGCAGUUGGCUCUUUCAUGGAUCUAUACGACAUGGAUAAUGGUCUACAGCCUAAACCUUUGGAAAAAAAUAUUGACUCAUCCCUUAAUGAUCAACAAGCUGAAAUGACAAGAGUAUUUUGUAAAAAUCUUAUUAAUUAUCAAAUUAUCAACAACAAUGGAGAUGUCAAGACAAUCAACAAAGAAUUUAGUAGAACUAGAAAGGAUAUGGGAAAUUUCAAAGACGACGCGACCGAAAGUGGUUUGGGCAGUGAUCUCUCUUUUCACGAUGAUGUUGUGCCUUCUCAACACGAUUUAACGAGGCAAAGAGACGUUAUAACAGCCGUAAUUCAAUAUCUACAGGAGAAACUACCUAUAAAUAUAACAGAAAUUGUACAAAUGGGAUCAAUUGGAACUGAUUGCGUAACCAAAUCAAGAGCAGAUGUUGAUUUAAUUAUAUUAAGCACAGAUUUGCCAAAAACUGGGCAAGAAAGUUGGAUGAUACCAGUCAUACAGGCGACAAAGGAAUUACUGCACUAUUCUAACCAAAACGUUGACCCUUAUAGACCUUUACCAAAAUGCUCAGAAAUAAAAACUUCAUUAUCAACCGUUCAAUUUACAUGUUCUGGUGUUGAUAUUGAUAUAUUCUACUCAUACGAUUGGGAAAAAGGUUCAACAUAUAGCGAGUUAUAUAAAUGGACUUGUUCCGAAACUGAAAAGUUUCAAAAAUACUGGUUCUCGGUUGCCAGCGUACGUUUACAGAGAAAGUUUAUCAAUGAGCAAAGAAAAGAGGUCAAAGAUGUUAUAAAAAUCCUUAAGCAUUGGAGGAAUUCUAUUCAAUGGCGUAAAACUAAAUACAGGCCUGAUAGUUAUCUUCUGUCACUCCUCGUUAUAAAGUCUUGCGAAGAGACAAAAUCUACUGAUUUGACAAAGGUGGCUACGAAAUUGGGGCAAUAUAUUUUUAAUCCCGAAACUAGCAUAACGUGGAGUAAAUAUUAUCUCCCUGGAAAAUUUGAAGUUGAGUUUGAUCCUCCAUAUCCUUUAAUUCAAGAUCCUGCUAAUCCUGGGAUAAAUGUUGCUGAUUCUUUAUGCUAUUGGGGUCAAUUUAAAGCUGAAAUUAAGGAAUUAUUGCAUUCAUUGAAUGUGCCUUUACAUAAUGUACUUUCUUGAUUUAUUCGAAAAUGACAGUAGUUGAACUUAUAUCGAAAAAAAAUGAUCGAAAAAGUGAUAUUAUGCUUUCAUUUAUAACUAUCAUAUCUAUGAUAUUUUUCGUAAAAAAAAAAACACAAUUGCGCUACACUUCUAUGUCUAAACAGAAAAUUUAGGCUGAAUCGAAAAAAAACCUUGAAAAAAUGAUUGAAUUACCUUCAGAACUUUUCUUGAAAGUGGCAAAACGAAAAUUACCUAAGAGGCUUUUUAAUUAUUCAUUUUUAGAGGGAAAUAGUUUAUUUGACUUUAUUUAUAUGUAUAUCUACUUAUACAUAUAUAUAUAUAUAUAUCUUUUUAUAAUACUGUUACAAACCAGUUGGACAAGUAGCUUGCUAUUUAGUUUCGUAUUGAAUAUUAUUUAUUGGAUGUUUUUAUUGUAAAGUCAUAUUUAUCUAUAUAUAUAUCUUAUUUUUCUCUCUUUUGCGUUAUUAUUUGUUUUUAAGUCUUUUUUCUUGAUGACUGAAACAUGAUUUGUCUUUUUGCUUCCUUCUUCUGUUCUAUUUAUUCGGAAAAAAUUACGUUUGGUG